rnacentral:rRNA from 1 species
ACGGGAGGCAGCAGUGAGGAAUAUUGGUCAAUGGUCGGAAGACUGAACCAGCCAUGCCGCGUGCAGGAAUAAGGCCCUAUGGGUCGUAAACUGCUUUUGUGGUGGAGCAAUAAGGCGUACGUGUACGUCGAUGAGAGUACAUCACGAAUAAGCAUCGGCUAACUCCGUGCCAGCAGCCGCGGUAAUACGGAGGAUGCAAGCGUUAUCCGGAUUUAUUGGGUUUAAAGGGUGCGUAGGCUGUGCAUCAAGUCAGCGGUGAAAGCCCGGGGCCUAACUCCGGAACUGCCGUUGAUACUGUUGUGCUGGAAGACGGAUGCCGUGGGAGGAAUGAGUAGUGUAGCGGUGAAAUGCAUAGAUAUUACUCAGAACACCGAUUGCGAAGGCAUCUCACGAAUCCGUUAUUGACGCUGAGGCACGAAAGCGUGGGGAUCAAACAGGAUUAGAUACCCUGGUA